GGAAGCUGCUGGCCGGGGAGCGGGCAGCCGAGAGAGGUCGCUCCCGGAGCGCAGGCGGCGUCAGACUUUUCUGCCUCGGUGUGUGGCUCACGUUCCCGCAGCUGGCGCUGCCCGGCGACAGGGGCAGCUCAAGCAGUCUGUCAGCAGAGAUGACAUCUGCCUGAGGGGUGUCCAGGCAUGCUCAGGAGUUGGUGCAGGCUCCAGACAGUUGCUGGGCUUCUUUCUGCAUCUUACCCGAGGACCCUGAGAGGUUACAACAUGAAGUCUUGAGCAGAGAAGAACGGAGCCCGGGGAGGGCCUGCCAAGAGCA